GUGGGGAAUCUUCCGCAAUGGACGAAAGUCUGACGGAGCAACGCCGCGUGAACGAUGACGGCCUUCGGGUUGUAAAGUUCUGUUAUACGGGACGAAUGGUACGACGGUCAAUACCCGUCGUAAGUGACGGUACCGUAAGAGAAAGCCACGGCUAACUACGUGCCAGCAGCCGCGGUAAUACGUAGGUGGCAAGCGUUGUCCGGAAUUAUUGGGCGUAAAGGGCGCGCAGGCGGCGUCGUAAGUCGAUCUUAAAAGUGCGGGGCUUAACCCCGUGAGGGGACCGAAACUGCGAUGCUAGAGUAUCGGAGAGGAAAGCGGAAUUCCUAGUGUAGCGGUGAAAUGCGUAGAUAUUAGGAGGAACACCAGUGGCGAAAGCGGCUUUCUGGACGACAACUGACGCUGAGGCGCGAAAGCCAGGGGAGCAAACGGGAUUAGAAACCCUAGUAGUCC
rnacentral:rRNA from 1 species